rnacentral:tRNA from 1 species
UGGCUCAGUGGUAAAGAAUUUGCCUGCUAAGCAGGACACCCAGGUUCAAUCCCUGG